rnacentral:lncRNA from 1 species
AAAGAAUUGGCAGUGAUCGUUUUAAAUCAAGUCAGAAUAAUCGAAGCCUUAUUCCCAGUUUGUUAGCUGCGGUCGUAUGAUUUAGAAACACUGAUUUGUUGAUUUAGGAUGUUUGGAUAGACAUAAUUUCACAGCUGGAAGAAGGACCGCACACCGGUGAAAUAAGGCCCCGCGUGCUUGUUUGCCACUGGUGUGUUUCAUCAAGCCUUGACAACACUGGACUGAGAGAGAGGGCCUUGAGGACAGGAACCUUGACCUUUUUCUUAGUGUUCUUAUUUCUAGCACCUUGCCAAGCAGAUAGUAGUCGAUCAAUAAAAUGUCCAAUCAGUGAAUGAAUAGCAGACGAAAUGAGCAAAGUGCCCAGAGAAGUGACUCUUCCAUAUUUCAAGUGUUUCAUGUGCUACAGAAUCUGUUGAACAAGAUGAAGUUUAAGUGCAUUGUGUGGACUUACAACUUACAACUACUUCUUUAAGUCACUGUUCAGACAUUCACAGUGAAGAAG